GAGCUGUGAGGAAAAAAUCGUGUGCCAGAGAUGGUUAAUCCAUCGCUGACGGUAAUACACAACCCUCUAAGAAGUUCUGAGCUU
rnacentral:snoRNA from 14 species